rnacentral:rRNA from 1 species
GAUGAACGCUGGCGGCGUGCUUAACACAUGCAAGUCGAACGGAAAGGCCCAAGCUUGCUUGGGUACUCGAGGGGCGAACGGGUGAGUAACACGUGGGUGAGCUGCCCUGCACUGGGGGAUAAGCCGGGGAAACUGGGUCUAAUACCGGAGAGGAGCGCAUGUUGGAGGGGGUGGUUGAAAGCUUUUGGGUGGGGGAUGAGCUUGCGGGGUAUCAGCUUGUUGGUGGGGAAAGGGCGUACCAGGGCGUCGACGGGUAGCCGGCCUGAGGGGAGGUACGGCCGCACUGGGCCCCAGCGACGGGCCAGACUCCGGAGGGUGGCAGCAGGGGGGAAUAUUGCACCAUGCGCGCACGCCUGAGGCAGCGACGCCGCGUGGGGGAUGACGGCCUUCGGGUUGUAAACUCCUCUCGCUAGUGACGACGCGUUUUUGUGACGUUACCUGGAGAAGAAGCACCGGCUAACUACGUG